GAAGUAAAAGUCGUAACAAGGUCUCCGUAGGUGAACCUGCGGAGGGAUCAUUACACAAUAACAAGGCGGGCUGGACACCCCCAGCCGGGCACUGCUUCACGGCGUGCGCGGCUGGGCCGGCCCUGCUGAAUUAUUCACCCGUGUCUUUUGCGUACUUCUUGUUUCCUGGGUGGGCUCGCCCGCCAUCAGGACCAACCACAAACCUUUUGCAAUAGCAAUCAGCGUCAGUAACAACGUAAUUAAUUACAACUUUCAACAACGGAUCUCUUGGUUCUGGCAUCGAUGAAGAACGCAGCGAAAUGCGAUACGUAGUGUGAAUUGCAGAAUUCAGUGAAUCAUCGAAUCUUUGAACGCACAUUGCGCCCUUUGGUAUUCCAAAGGGCAUGCCUGUUCGAGCGUCAUUUGUACCCUCAAGCUUUGCUUGGUGUUGGGCGUCUUUUGUCUCCAGUUCGCUGGAGACUCGCCUUAAAGUCAUUGGCAGCCGGCCUACUGGUUUCGGAGCGCAGCACAAGUCGCGCUCUUUGCCAGCCAAGGUCAGCGUCCAGCAAGCCUUUUUUUUCAACCUUUGACCUCGGAUCAGGUAGGGAUACCCGCUGAACUUAAGCAUAUCAAUAAGCGGAGGA
rnacentral:misc_RNA from 1 species